GAUGAACGCUGGCGGCGUGCCUAACACAUGCAAGUCGAACGGAGAUUACGGACGGAAGUUUUCGGAUGGAAGACUGUAAUUCUUAGUGGCGGACGGGUGAGUAACGCGUGGGCAACCUGCCCUAUACAGGGGGAUAGCAGCUGGAAACGGCUGGUAAGACCGCAUAAGUCGGCGAGACCGCAUGGUUUUGCCGGGAAAUGAGCAAUCAGGUAUAGGAUGGGCCCGCGUCCGAUUAGCCAGUUGGCAGGGUAAAAGCCUACCAAAGCAACCAUCGGUAGCCGGACUGAGAGGUCGGACGGCCACAUUGGGACUGAGACACGGCCCAAACUCCUACGGGAGGCAGCAGUGGGGGAUAUUGCACAAUGGAGGAAACUCUGAUGCAGCGACGCCGCGUGAGUGAAGAAGUAUUUCGGUAUGUAAAGCUCUAUCAGCAGGGAAGAUGAUGACGGUACCUGACUAAGAAGCCCCGGCUAACUACGU
rnacentral:rRNA from 1 species